GGGUUUGAGGUCUAUAUGGGAUCCUGGGGUCUAUGGGGUGGGAUUUGAGGUCUAUAUGGGGUCUAUGGGGUCGGAUUUGGGGUCUAUACGGGAUCUAUACGGGAUUUGGGGUCUAUGGGUUUGGAUUUGGGGUCUAUAUGGGGUCUACAGAGUGGGAUUUGAGGUCUAUAUGGGAUCCUGGGGUCUAUGGGGUGGGAUUUGGGGUCUAUAUGGGAUCCUGGAGUCUAUGGGGUGGGCUUUAGGGUCUAUACGGGGUCUAUGGGGUCGGAUUUGGGGUCUAUAUGGGGUCUAUGGGGUGGGAUUUGGGGUCUAUAUGGGAUCUAUACGGGAUUUGGGGUCUAUGGGGAGGGCUUUGGGGUCUAUAUGGGGUGUAUGGGGUGGGAUUUGAGGUCUAUAUGGGGUCUAUGGGGUGGGAUUUGAGGUCUGUAUGGGGUCUAUGGGGUCGGAUUUGGGGUCUAUAUGGGACGUUGGGGUCUGCGGGUCUAUAUGGGAUCUAUAUGGGAUCUUGGACUCCAUGGGUCUGUAUGGGAUCUAUAUGGGAUCCUGGAGUGUAUGGGGUGGGCUUUGGGGUCUGUAUGGGCUCUAUAUGGGAUUUUGGACUCUAUGGGUCUAUAUGGGAUCUGUAUGGGAUCUAUAUGGAAUCCUGGGGUCUAUGGGGUGUGCUUUGGGGUCUGUAUGGGGUCUAUGGGGUGGGAUUUGGGGUCUAUAUGGGGUCUAUGCGGGAUUUGGGGUCUAUGGGGAGGGCUUUGAGGUCUGUAUGGGGUCUAUGGGGUCGGAUUUGGGGUCUAUAUGGGAUCUAUAUGGAUUUGGGGUCUAUUGGGUGGGAUUUGGGGUCUAUAUGGGAUCUAUAUAGGAUGCUGGGGUCUGUGGUGUGGGUUUUAGGGUCUCUAUGGGGUCUAUAGGGUGGGCUUUGGGGUCUAUAUGGGCUCUAUAUGGGAUCUUAGACUCUACGGGUCUAUAUGGGAUCUGUAUGGGAUCUAUAUGGAAUCCUGGGGUCUAUGGGGUGGGCUUUGGGGUCUGUAUGGGGUCUAUGGGGUGGGCUUUGGGGUCUAUAUGGGGUCUAUAUGGGAUCUUAGACUCUAUGGGUCUAUAUGGGAUCUGUAUGGGAUCUAUAUGGAAUCUUGGGGUCUAUGGGGUGGGCUUUGGGGUCUAUAUGGGGUCUAUAUGGGAUCUUAGACUCUAU
ensembl:lncRNA